AACAUCGCGCACCUGCGGGAACCUGCGGAAGGAUCAUUAUAGGAAAAACACACACACACACAAAAGUUGUGGGGAGUUAUCAGGGGAGACGAGGAAGGGGGGAAAUGCAUACUCUGCAUUUUCUCUCCCUCUUUCUUUCUUGGUAAUUUCCUGCUUCUUCAAACAAAUUAUCACAACUACAAAGAGAGGAGAAUAAUUGGUUGACUUGGGAAAAAAGUGGUUGCCUGAUAUCUGAGCAUU
rnacentral:misc_RNA from 1 species